rnacentral:rRNA from 1 species
CCCUAUGGGGUGCAGCAGGUACGAAUUCUCUACAAUGCACGAAAGUGUGAUAGGGGGAUCCCAAGUGCCCAUGCACUGCAUGGGCUUUUGCCAAGUGUAAAGAGCUUGGCGAAUAAGUGGUGGGUAAGACUGGUGCCAGCCGCCGCGGUAACACCAGCGCCACGAGUGGUAGCCGCGUUUAUUGGGCCUAAAGCGUCCGUAGCCGGUUUGGUUAAUCUCUUGUGAAAUUGUUCGGCUUAACCUAACAGCGUGCAGGAGACACUGCCAAGCUCGAGACCGGGAGGGGUUAGAAGUAUUCCAGGGGGAACGGUAAAAUGUUAUAAUCCCUGGGGGACUACCUAUGGCGAAGGCAUCUAACCAGAACGGGUCUGACGGUGAGGGACGAAAGCUAGGGGAGCAAACCGGAUUAGAUACCCGAGUAGUCCUAGCUGUAAACGCUGUGAGCUAGGUGUUGCAUAUUCCUCGGGAAUAUGCAGUGUCGAAAUGAAGAUGCUAAGCUCACCGCCUGGGAAGUACGGCCGCAAGACUGAAACUUUAAGGAAUUGGCGGGGGCGCACAACAAGGGGUGCGGCGUGCGGUUUAAUCUAACUCAACGCAGAGAACCUUACUAGAAGCGACGGCAGGAUGAAAGGUCAGUCUGAAGGGCUUACCUGACGAGCCGAGAGGUAGUGCAUGGC